CUUUCGCCUCUCUUGUCCAGAGAGCGACUGUUCAGGUGGGUGAGAAUAUGCUAGAAAAUUCUUUCAAAAAGAACUGAAACCUCCUUUCGUCGCUUCCACAGCAGUCGCCUCCGCGCUUUCUGGCACGUUUACGG
rnacentral:lncRNA from 1 species